GGAAAAGGUAUUUGUCCAUCCUUUGCCAUAAAAUUGAUGGGCUCCUACGACUGCCAUUUGAAGAGAGGAAGUUGAACAAAGACUUGAAUCCAAGACAUGAGAUUUAGAUAGGGGGAUAUUCCCAGUGAAUUUCCUAACAGAUGCAUGGAAGCCUUUCAGAGGGAAGAUGGAAUUCAAAGUGGUUUUCAAGGACCUGGAGGGACAUGCAAUAGCUGGUGACUCAAUGCCUGAGUGCUGUAAAGCAAACAAUUUGCCCUCCAGCAAGCACCACUUCCAACAGGACUGGGGCCAGCACUGACUCCCCUCCACUCGGAAAGGUUUCUUCAGUGUAUUGUUUGGAAGGUCAAGCACCUUCUCCUUGCUAUUCUUUCUGAAUCUCAAA